rnacentral:rRNA from 1 species
GAUGAACGCUGGCGGCGUGCCUAAUACAUGCAAGUCGAGCGAACAGACGAGGAGCUUGCUCCUCUGACGUUAGCGGCGGACGGGUGAGUAACACGUGGAUAACCUACCUAUAAGACUGGGAUAACUUCGGGAAACCGGAGCUAAUACCGGAUAAUAUAUUGAACCGCAUGGUUCAAUAGUGAAAGACGGUUUUGCUGUCACUUAUAGAUGGAUCCGCGCCGCAUUAGCUAGUUGGUAAGGUAACGGCUUACCAAGGCAACGAUGCGUAGCCGACCUGAGAGGGUGAUCGGCCACACUGGAACUGAGACACGGUCCAGACUCCUACGGGAGGCAGCAGUAGGGAAUCUUCCGCAAUGGGCGAAAGCCUGACGGAGCAACGCCGCGUGAGUGAUGAAGGUCUUCGGAUCGUAAAACUCUGUUAUUAGGGAAGAACAAAUGUGUAAGUAACUAUGCACGUCUUGACGGUUCCUAAUCAGAAAGCCACGGCUAACUACGU